rnacentral:rRNA from 1 species
AGGGUUUGAUUCUGGCUCAGGAUGAACGCUGGCGGCGUGCUUAACACAUGCAAGUCGAACGAAGCACUCUACUUGAUCUCUUCGGAGUGAUUGUUUUGUGACUGAGUGGCGGACGGGUGAGUAACGCGUGGGUAACCUGCCUCAUACAGGGGGAUAACAGUUGGAAACGACUGCUAAUACCGCAUAAGCGCACAGGGUCGCAUGACCUGGUGUGAAAAACUCCGGUGGUAUGAGAUGGACCCGCGUCUGAUUAGCCAGUUGGUGGGGUAACGGCCUACCAAAGCGACGAUCAGUAGCCGACCUGAGAGGGUGACCGGCCACAUUGGGACUGAGACACGGCCCAA